GAUGCUGUAAUGGUAAGACUUUGGAUCCUUCCUGAGGACGUGGAGAAAACUUGCUGCUGAGAAGGACAUUUUGAAGGUUUUGUUGGCUGAAAAAGCUGUUUCUGGAAUCACCCCUAGAUCUUUCUUGAAGACUUGAAUUAGAUUACAGCGAUGGGGACACAGAAGGUCACCCCAGCUCUGAUAUUUGCCAUCACAGUUGCUACAAUCGGCUCUUUCCAAUUUGGCUACAACACUGGGGUCAUCAAUGCUCCUGAGAAGGUGAGUGCCAGGCCACAAUAAUUAGAAUUUAGAAUAGGGAAGUUAUUCCUUUAAGUAGGGUUUCAGGAAUUCAGAAUUUAAGGCCAGGCAUGGUGGCAUCUGCCUGGAGUCCCAGCUACUCCUGAGGCUGAGGCUUAAAGAUCACUUGAGUCCAGGAGUUAAACACCAUCCUGAGCAACACAGUUAGUGAGGGUCCCUCCCCAAACUAGGGGAUUUUAAGACAAACUUUGUAUCUAUCCUGUCCAAGACUGAAGAUGGAGACAAUAUUGGUGGGGAAAAUUAGUGGGGUCAUCUAAUCGAAGCACAAAGCUCACUUACUCCCGGAACGCUGG
rnacentral:lncRNA from 10 species